rnacentral:lncRNA from 1 species
ACCAUUAUUGCAAGCUUUUUCAAUAAGUUUUUUUUCUUCAUCAAAUGCAAAACUAACUUGAAUUAACUUGAGCAAAUCCAACAAUGAACUAAAUAUAAUUACAUGAUCACAAAAACACAUCAAUAAUUGCAUUCUUACCCUUCAUCUUGGAGAAGUAACUAACAUAUUCCUAGACAAUAAUUGCAUUAUCAGAUGCCAUUCUUUUAGCCAUAAACCUGGUUUGGCUGGGGCC